rnacentral:tRNA from 6 species
GUCCCCAUCGUCUAGAGGCCAAGGACACCGCCCUUUCACGGCGGCGACCAGGGUUCGAAUCCCUGUGGGGACGCCA